CCUACGGGUGGCUGCAGUGGGGAAUAUUGCACAAUGGGGGAAACCCUGAUGCAGCGACGCCGCGUGGGCGAUGAAGUAUUUCGGUAUGUAAAGCUCUAUCAGCAGGGAAGAAGAUGACGGUACCUGACUAAGAAGCCCCGGCUAACUACGUGCCAGCAGCCGCGGUAAUACGUAGGGGGCAAGCAUUAUCCGGAUUUACUGGGUGUAAAGGGAGCGUAGACGGCGAUGCAAGCCAGAUGUGAAAGGCCGGGGCUCAACCCCGGGACUGCAUUUGGAACUGUGUGGCUGGAGUGUCGGAGGGGCAGGCGGAAUUCCUAGUGUAGCGGUGAAAUGCGUAGAUAUUAGGAGGAACACCAGUGGCGAAGGCGGCUUGCUGGACGAUGACUGACGUUGAGGCUCGAAAGCGUGGGGAGCAAACAGGAUUAGAUACCCGUGUAGUC
rnacentral:rRNA from 1 species